ensembl:lncRNA
CUCCAUUAAUGUCUGUGGGUCAUACAAAGUAAUAGUGGUUUCAGAUUGGAAUUGCAUGCACUGAGAAUAGAGGAUUGCUCCUGUCCUGCAUGUUUAGAAGAAAGUCAUCCUUUUCUGCCCAACCUCAGUCAUUCCUGUCCAUCAUGAAUGGUCAUAAUAUCUGGAAAAAUGUAACCCAAAGGGCAAACAGGACUCUGCAAAGCCUGUGUGGGAACUGUGGGCAACGAGAAAACCAAAGUUGUUUUUGUGGAGGCAGCUCUUCUAGGGCUCACCCCAGGCUGUGAUGGUUGGAUCUGGAGACUCUACGGCCCUGUUUCUUGUCUGGGUGCCAUACACUUUGGCUAAUUUAUGUACCGAGCGUAAGGAAUAUUGUGAAAUAUUAAGGUCCAGUGUCUUUCUUUGUCAAAAACAAGAGGAGAUCAAAGAGGAACAUUGGACUAACGCUUGAAGCCAAUGGUCACCUAAGAAGUAAGGAUAAAGAAAAGGCAGAGGGUCAUUUCUGCAAAGGAGACCCACUGAUUCUGAAAACAAUGGACUUCAAAUCAUGUAGCUAUGGAAAAGUACGGCAGUGCCAACCCUGGUUCCAAGAUCUUUCAUCUCUUGCUAACAAACUCUUCAAAUGUGCUACUUUAAACCCAGCUUUGGUGUCAGUCUGAGCAUCAGACGAGCAUGAAGAAGGCUGAAGAACUCAGCAAGUUCAUUGCCUCUGUCUUCACUUGCAGUCAGGCUUCCAACAACUCUCAUGUUCCUGAACUUCUAGGUAGGGUUGUGGGAGAGCACAAUCCCUCCCACUGUAAGAGCAGAACAAGUUCAAGACCACCUGAUGAGAUUGAACAUGUACAAGUCUAUGGAGUCCAUUGACAUGCAUCCCACAGUCCUGAAGAAACUGGCUGAUGCAGUUGCCAAGCUAUUUUCCAUCACACGUGAAAAGUCAUGGCUGUCAGGUGAAGUCCCCAGAAACUGGAAAAAAGGAAAUGUCACUCCCAUUCAUAAGAAAGGGAGAAAGGAAGACCAAGGAAACUACAGGUCAGUGAGCCUCAGCUCUGUGCCUGGGAAGAUCAUGGAGGAGAUCCUCCUGGAAGGGAUGUCAAAGCACAUGCAAAAUCAGGAGGUGAUCCAAGACAACCAGCACAGCUUCGUGGUCCUCCGUGAUGGAAUGACGGCUUCAGUAGACAAAAGAAGAGUAACUGAUAUCAUCUACUUGAAAUACUUGAAAUUAUACUCAUUAAAUGAGAUGUCAGUGCAGCUUGAUAGGAAGUGUGGAAGUAGAUUAAUGAGUACUUUCAAAGAUUAAUAAUUAUUUUCCAUGUAUGAGAUAUAAUAAAGUAAAACAGAUGGUAGUUUGCAGUACAUAAUGUAAAGCAUAUUUACUUCCUGAGUGGUUCAUGUGUAGCUUUAAUAAGAGAGAAUUCUAUUUUUUGUUUUAAUGUCUUUCUGAGAGAACUUGCAUCACUUACAUACUCUAAUGCUGAGUGCCAAAGCACAAAGAUUCAC